rnacentral:rRNA from 1 species
CUACGGGAGGCAGCAGUGAGGAAUAUUGGACAAUGGGCGCAAGCCUGAUCCAGCCAUGCCGCGUGCAGGAAGAAGGUCCUAUGGAUUGUAAACUGCUUUUGUACAGGAAGAAACACUCCCUCGUGAGGGAGCUUGACGGUACCGUAAGAAUAAGGAUCGGCUAACUCCGUGCCAGCAG